rnacentral:rRNA from 1 species
GACGAACGCUGGCGGCGUGCUUAACACAUGCAAGUCGAACGGAAAGGCCCUGCUUUUGUGGGGUGCUCGAGUGGCGAACGGGUGAGUAACACGUGAGUAACCUGCCCUUGACCUUGGGAUAACUUCAGGAAACUGGGGCUAAUACCGGAUAGGAGCUCCUGCUGCAUGGUGGGGGUUGGAAAGUUUCGGCGGUUGGGGAUGGACUCGCGGCUUAUCAGCUUGUUGGUGGGGUAGUGGCUUACCAAGGCUUUGACGGGUAGCCGGCCUGAGAGGGUGACCGGCCACAUUGGGACUGAGAUACGGCCCAGACUCCUACGAGAGGCAGCAGUGGGGAAUAUUGCACAAUGGGCGGAAGCCUGAUGCAGCAACGCCGCGUGCGGGAUGACGGCCUUCGGGUUGUAAACCGCUUUCGCCUGUGACGAAGCGUGAGUGACGGUAAUGGGUAAAGAAGCACCGGCUAACUACGUG